rnacentral:rRNA from 1 species
CAAUAGCGUAUAUUAAAGUUGUUGCGGUUAAAAAGCUCGUAGUUGGAUUUCUGCUGAGGACGACCGGUCCGCCCUCCGGGUGAGCAUCUGGUUCGGCCUUGGCAUCUUCUUGGUGAACGUAUCUGCACUUGACUGUGUGGUGCGGUACCCAGGACCUUUUAGCUUGAUGGAAAUUUAGAGGUGAUUUCAAGCAGGUCAUACGCCUUGAAUACAUUAGCAUGGAAUAAUAAGAUAGGACCUCGGUUCUAUUUUGUUGGUUUCUAGAGCUGAGGUAAUGAUUAAUAGGGAUAGUUGGGGGCAUUAGUACUUAACUGUCAGAGGUGAAAUUCUCCGAUUUGUUAAAGACUAACUUAUGCGAAAGCAUUUGCCAAGGAUGUUUUCAUUAAUCAAGAACGAAAGUUAGGGGAUCAAAGACGAUCAGAU